GACGAACGCUGGCGGCGUGCUUAACACAUGCAAGUCGAACGGAGUGGCGAACGGGUGAGUAACACGUGGGUGAACUGCCUUGCACUUCGGGAUAAGCUUGGGAAACCGGGUCUAAUACCGGAUAGUGCAAGAUGAGCUCGCGGCCUAUCAGCUUGUUGGGGGGGUAAUGGCCUACCAAGGCGUCGACGGGUAGCCGGCCUGCGAGGGGGUACGGCGACAUUGGGCCUGCGAUACGGCGCAGACGGCUACGGGGGGCAGCGGUGGGGAAUAUUGCGCAAUGAGCGGAAGCGUGAGGCAGAGGCGCUGGGUGGGGGAUGCAGGCCUUCGGGUUGUGAACUCCUUUCGACAGGGACGCGGUACCUGUAUAAGAAGCACCGGCUAACUACGUGCCAGCAGCCGCGGUAAUUC
rnacentral:rRNA from 1 species